rnacentral:rRNA from 1 species
UACGGAGGAUCCGAGCGUUAUCCGGAUUUAUUGGGUUUAAAGGGUGCGUAGGCGGCCGAGUAAGUCAGCGGUGAAAUUUUGCAGCUUAACUGUAACAGUGCCGUUGAUACUGCCAGGCUAGGAUUUGGUUGCUGUGGGUGGAAUGUGUGGUGUAGCGGUGAAAUGCUUAGAUAUAACACAGAAUAUCGAUUGCGAAGGCAGCUCACAAAGCCAAGAUUGACGCUGAGGCACGAAAGUGUGGGGAUCAAACAGGAUUAGA